rnacentral:rRNA from 1 species
GACAGAGGGUGCAAACGUUGUUCGGAAUUACUGGGCGUAAAGCGUGUGUAGGCGGCUUCGUAAGUCGGAUGUGAAAGCCCCGGGCUCAACCCGGGAAGUGCACUCGAUACUGCGAAGCUUGAGUACUGGAGAGGUUGGUGGAAUUCUCGGUGUAGAGGUGAAAUUCGUAGAUAUCGAGAGGAACACCCGUGGCGAAGGCGGCUCUCUGGAACGCAACUGACGCUGAGACGCGAAAGCGUGGGGAGCAAACAGG